rnacentral:rRNA from 1 species
UACGUAGGGUGCGAGCGUUAAUCGGAAUUACUGGGCGUAAAGCGUGCGCAGGCGGUUCUGAAAGUCAGCUGUGAAAGCCCCGGGCUUAACCUGGGAACUGCGGUUGAAACUACAGGACUAGAAUCUGGCAGAGGGGGGUGGAAUUCCACGUGUAGCAGUGAAAUGCGUAGAGAUGUGGAGGAACACCGAUGGCGAAGGCAGCCCCCUGGGCUAAGAUUGACGCUCAUGCACGAAAGCGUGGGGAGCAAACAGG